rnacentral:lncRNA from 1 species
GGUGAAUAAGUCAUCUUACGAAAACCAAAUAAUCCCAAAACAAUUAGGCACGAUGCAUUAACUUUCACCUCGUUUCUUGUUUUUUGACAUGAAUAAAGGAAUCAACCAAUAAGAGAUGUGGGGCAUGUAUGUUUUUAAUGACUUGAGACUAACUAGCACAACAUGCAUUGGUCAAUUCAUUGCAUGCAAUUGUAUUAAUUAGCAAAUUAGCAUUGAUUUCUCUCGUUUUCCUCUCCAUC